rnacentral:rRNA from 1 species
GACGUAGGGCGCGAGCGUUGUCCGGAUUUAUUGGGCGUAAAGAGCUCGUAGGCGGCUCAUUGCGUCAACCGUGAAAACCAGCAGCUCAACUGUUGGCUUGCGGUUGAUACGGGUGGGCUGGAGUUCGGUAGGGGAGACUGGAAUUCCAGGUGUAGCGGUGAAAUGCGUAGAUAUCUGGAGGAACACCGGUGGCGAAGGCGGCAUCCUGGACCGACAUUGACGCUGAGGCGCGAAAGCCAGGGGAGCAAACGGG